rnacentral:lncRNA from 1 species
UACCGGCAUACCCGUAAGUCUAUAGUAAAACUCUGACAUAAUGAUUUAUAGAUUCGGCUGCACUUCAAAUGAGGUGGAGUCUUACCGAUCCUUCGCUGAAUGCUAACCUCGUUUACUAUGAGGGCUUGUCAAACUGAUUAUCUAUAUCUGCAGGCAUGAACCCAACAUCCCCAACAAAAGAACGUCAGUACGAAUAAUGUACCGAGUAUGUAAGGCGGAACUGAAAUAUAACAACAAGUCAACAUUAAUUAAAAACAUAUAAGAAUCAACCUGAAUCUCUGAAGUGCCAUCGUUUAUGCAUACUUAGUAUACUUAUAUAUAUAUAUAAUGCUUCUCUUUAAGACUAUUAUCCUUAUCGUACGAUGGAUGACUGCCCAACUGAUCAGUGGUAACUGCCCGACCGGCGGUAGCUUGAUGGUAAAUGCAUAACUACCCAAUCGAUGGUAAGUAAUGAUACAUACCUGCCCAGCAGGCCGUAGCCCGGUGGUAAAUGCAUGACUACGCGAUCGGUCGUAGCACGGUGGUUAAUGAAGAUGCAUGUCUGUCCAACCGGCCGUAGCACGGUAGUAAAUGAAGAUGCAUUUCUGCCCAACCGCCCAUAUCACGGUGGUAAAUGCAUGAAGAUGCAUGUAUCACUAUAUUAUAAACAUUAACAUCUUUAUCAAAUACCUCAAUAGAGACUUAGGAACAUACUUAGGCAUGUUUGAAUAUCACUUUACAUGAAUGAAUAACAUAGACAUCCUUAGCUUCUAAGAGUAGAACCACUUAUGGAAUAGCAUUACGUUUACGUAUCGUUACUUGGAUCAUGCCAAAAAAGGAAGGAUUAGCCUUAACAUACCUUACUUGAGGAAUUUAUCAAACACUUUUACUUGAGCUUGCCAAGAACAAUUUUUGCUCCUUUAAAUCUUUGAACAAGAACUAAGCACUUCUUAUGAUCAUAGCAUAUUUCAUGUUGCUGGACAUAUGGAGUAUCAUGGAUGUAUGUUUUUGCUAUGUUUCUAAAGUAAGAGACUCCCUAAUAAUAGAAAGAAAGAUUGCAGUCUCCUUUGCAUCUCUUAAAUUGCCAAAGAAUAACAUGAAAGCUUAAAGCUUGCAUUGUCAUGUGUAAACAAGGCACACCAAGUGCUACGACUCAUGUACAUAUUGGUGCCACACUUGGCCAAUUUCAUGCCAUGUGACAGCCCACAAAUUUUCCUAAAAUGCCACCUAAUCUCAUAAACCAAAGAGUCACCAUUUGUCUUGAUCAAGACCCAUACUUGGUAUGAUGACUUGGCCAAAGAUUUCUCUAAUCUUGCGAUCUAGCUCCAAGACUUGUUUCGUCAAUAUUGAAUUCCUUACUUGCUGCCAUGUUAAUGCUUAUCCAUCCCAAUAAUUAGCUUACCAAAACUCCCUAAAUGUGCCAUCUUGCUCUAUGACUUAAGAGUCAUUUAUAGGGCUUUCCUUGGCUGCGACGUUGGGACCUAUUUAAACUUAUCCAAAGCUUAUAAUUAAUGAGCUAAUCUCCCACCAAAAAUCAUUCAUUACCCAAUUAUCCACAUAAUAAUUUCUAAGUUUCAUUUCACUUAAAUACUAGUAUACGUCAUAUACUUUACUACCAUGAUCAUGUGGUAUAUCACUAGUCCAUAAAUACGGGGUGUUAUAGCUUGAAUCGUAUUUUAUCUCCAAAUGUCAAACUUCGACCAACCUCAUUUUCUUCAACUCGUUUCCCCUCUUACCUUCACGACUUUAUUUAUCACUUGUUAUAUAUCAUAAGCACUUAUAACCUCAAAAAUAGUCUUGUCAUUGAACUUAUGUCAAUUAUCUUAUGACAAAUCCAACGUAGACAAGUACGAGAUGUAACAUUGGAGUUCCAGCAUAAUAUGCUGGAAGUUCAUGCACAGGUGCACCGAUCUCCAUUAUAUUAUGCUGGAACUUUCCGUGUUGCAGCAAAAUAAUGACUAUUUUUCAAUGACUUUGCAAACGCUAGCUAUUUUUGAAUGACCAAUCCGAAAACUGGCUAGCCCCGGCUAUUUUUACUUUCUUUCUUUUGUCAGAUUGCAGAGGGGCUCUCACCAUCCAUUCUGCAGGAACUUCCUUUCUUCUUUUGUUUUUCAUUAUUGGGUUUUUUUGGAACCAGGGUGGGGAAACAAGGUGUCUCGGAAUUAAUACCUGUGUACCCGUGUCAUAAAACUAAAUGCGUGAAAAUAACAAAAAUGGUCUCUUAUGUUUGGGUUUAGUUUAAAAUAGUCUUUUAAAAGCAGUUUUAACCUCCGUCAAAUAUUUGACAAAUAGAUUUAAGGGGAACUGUGAAGACUUACUUAGAGAAUUUCCUAUGAGAACUCUAAAGUGUUUUUCAGUUUUUUUUUUUAUAUUUAUAUUUUGAACUAUUACCUGCGGAUAAUUUUUGCCAAGUAAAUUUGUAGGUAAUGGUUUUAGCAUUGAAUUUCGCCAAAUUCAUGCGAAUUUUCUGUAGGAUGUAUUAAGUUCUGUGUGUAUAUAUUUUUAAAUUCGAGAUUUUUUAAGUUUUCCUGCAAGAAGAAUUCUUAGUUAUAAUUUCCACGUUCGCAAUUUUUGGCAAACGGAGUGGGGUAGAGCGGGUGAAACUUUUACCCCACAAAAGUUUUUAAUGCAUUCUCACUUAACAUGUAGUAAUAUUUUUCUAUUUUGAGCUCAUCGUACGUAGACCUUUCUUGUGAUGUUUAAGUUUCUUUUAGCUAAUUUUGACGAGUUUAAAAUAUCAUUAUUCUGUAAUUGUUCAUUUAAAAUGGAUCACCACUUUAGAUUCCCAAAUAAUUUCUCUUUAACCUGCCUCGUUCCGCCCCACGUAUACCCUUCUUUGUCUUGUUUAAUUAUGAUUUGCCUCACUGGUUACCAUUUCUAAGAUCAAAAAUCUCCCACGGUCACAAUGAAGAGGGAAGAAAGUGGCCGUGCGGAGAGGAAAUGGUGCUGCAGCCUGCCCAGAGUUGUUGAUGAUUGCUUAGUGCCCACGAAAAACAGAAAGAGAGAACAGGAAGAGGAAUGCGAAUGUAGCUUAGGUUCGUUCAACCUAAAUCUAGAAAAUUCGCGUUUAAAAAUAAUUUAAUUUUAUCUUAUUUUUUUAAACUGAUAAGCCUUUUGUGUCAAGUAUUAUUAGUAACUUUGACAAUAAAAAAGGGAGGGAGGGAGUAAUGUAUUUACAUCCUUCUCUAAAAAAGGUUCAAUCGAGUUCCCAAGAGCAUGGGACAUUUGGGACCUAACUGAUAACUUUGACCUUUGCAUAUCACUCUCUUAAUUCAAGACAAGUGAUACAUGAGCACAAGUCUCCGUUAAAUGAAAAAGAGCAUGAACAUGAACAUGAUAAUAGCCUUGUGGAAAACCUCAACAAAUAAAGCUGACUUUGCAAAAUUGACAUUUUUUAAGUCUCACUAUUUACCCGUACGUCUAAUUAAGUGGGCCAUUCAAGUCGCUUGGAUCUUCUUGUUUCAGAAGAGACUAUUACUUCCUGAAAACUCUUGCAUCCUAUUCUAUUUCUCCAUAAUCAAGCAGAGUGAUCUAAACAACAAAAUUAACAAAUAUAAUUGCAUUUUUAAAUGAGAUAAUUAUUUAUAUUUCAAAAAGAAUACUAUCUAGGAUCAAUCUAAUAAGCAGUAAUAAAAUCUAAUAAAACUGAUUGUGAUAAAAUGAAAUAGAAUUUCAAUUUGAAACGUGGAAUAACAUAUAAGUUGUUGGUAGACAUUUUUAGCUAUUUAUUGAUAUUUUCUGACUAUAGCAUUGUAAAUUCCUCUUUUUCCAUUUGUAAAACCAGUGACAGAUCUAAGAUUUCAACUUUACUAUUCAGAAUUCUAAAUUCUGUAGUUACCCAUAUGAUUUAUUGUGUUAAAUAUCUAUCAUGUGCAUAUAUUUAGUAAAUUUUUUAAUCCAUAACCUUAACACUGCAUCGCCCCUAUGUAAAACAAAUGAGAAAAUUAACAAGCUAAGCAACAAAAUGGUAACCACUUCAAAGUUAUAUAGUAGUUCCUCGUCUUAAUUUAGAUGCGGUAAUUUGAAUCGGUACGAAAUUUAAAAAAAAAUUGAAAUUUAUAGUUUUAAAAGGUAAAGUUUUGUGUGGCUACAAUAUUAAAUUGAUUAUAAAACUUCUAAUUAAAGAUAAAAUAGGUAAAAUGGAUAGUAGUUAUGACAAGUCUUUAUGAAUAGCAGUGAAGCGUACGACGCCGUAUUGCCAAAGCCUCAGUCAAGUGCUUUACAGAGGUGACCCCACCGGAGUAUUCUGAUUCGAAGCUCUGACUUCCUGCAACAAGUACGACGGCUGUUCUUGGUGGCGCACGGUGGCUGAGGCGGCGGAGGAAGGGUGGUAGACCCCGCUUAUUCCUCCAACACCUGCACCGCCACAUGCGCCGGACAUGUAGAUGGAGAAAAGAGUAUCAGAAGAGGUAGAAGACAGCAGAGCACUAGUAGAGACGGCACCGGAAAGUGAAAAGCCAGAGUCGAAGAGAUUAGUUGCCGGCGUCCUACUAUAAGUUGUCUUCGUAUCUCCGCAGUUUGCGGUGGCGCGAAGCGGAGACGCGGUAGUUGAACAUUCUCCUCCGCCGCCGCUUGUGUGUCCUACGGUGCUGCUAGUUGGCGUAGCUGCAUUGGAUUUCCCUCCAACACCACAAUGUGGACACGAAUUGUUAUUCUGAUGUAAAAAAUGAGAUCAACUUUAAUUAUGGAUAAGUUAAAUCCAAAAUUAGAUAAAAGUGAAAUGGGAAUAAAAUGGAAAAGCAAGCAAACUGCACAGACAGUGGAGGAGGAGGAAGAGCGGUAGGUGGUGCCAUCAGGGUCAACAAUCCAACCAGCUUCAGAGGCCAGGUGGCGGAGGACUUGGUUGAUGUCGGAACGAGGGGAGAGGCGGUAACCGCCGUGUUUACGGAGGCCGUUGAAGAUCUUAGUCGUAAUAGCUCUUCUCUGACGCUCUCUCAUCUUCGUCUUCUCCUUUUCGACAGCGCUUCUUCUUCCAUUGCUGUUGUUACUUCUCUGUUGACCUGCAGCUGAUUCCUUCAUUUGUGGAUCUGGAAAUAUCUUGUAAGUAAUUGUGAAAUUGCGGUUUAUUUGUUGUUUUGUAAAGGGGCAAUUGAAGAGAAGCUUUUCGCAUGACAGAGGAGUUCAACAUUGCAUGUUUACUGGGAAAGACUAGUCUGGCGCCACUGGCAGAAAAUAAUUUUCAUUUUCUGAAUAGUUUGUAAAUUAUGGCUUCUUUACUUUAAAUUAUGGCCCCAUAUACAUAGUGAUGCUUUUAGAAAGGACUUAAGCUUAUAUACAGCAUAAAAAAAAUUAUUUAUAUAAUUAAAUCACUUAUAAAAUAAUUAAAAAUAAAUCUCUACUUAAAUAUUAAUUAAUAAUAGGAUAAAAAUAAUAAUUAAUCUUUUAUAGUAGGCUAAACUAUUCGAAUAGCGAAAAAAGUAUUCUUUAAACUAACAAUGUAUAUCACUUAAAUCUAUUUAGAAACUAUUUUUACCACAUUAUUAAACGAGAGUUAGCAAAGAUAGCCAGAGUCAUUGAGAUUUGACACAUUACAAUUUGGAUGACAAUAACUUUUUUGUACUUAGCAUUUGUAUCAGUCUAAUUAAUAAAUCAAUUAAAUUCGUUUGCACAUUAACCUUAGACUUAACCAUUAUUUACUAAUGUAUACUUUUUCAUCUCAUUUUAUCAUACAACUAUAUGAUAAGUUUAGCAAAACCCGAAUACAAAUAUAUUUCUUCAGUUUAAAUUGUGAUAAGUUGAAUACUCAUAUAUGAAUUGAAAUUUUGUUCAUAUUUUCUUUUACACAGUGAAAUAAGGACAACUUCUUUAUCUGAGUGGAAAUUAAGUAGAGAGAUUAAAGUUUUAUUUAUUUUUAUUAAGAUUAAGACGUUUGAAUAUAAAUACACAUCUAAAUAUUAAAAUGUAUAUUAUGAUCUGAAUGGUAAAAAUUAAGACCAUUGAUUUUUUUUAAUAUUUGAACAUAUAAAAUUAUCGUUAUUUUAUAUAAUAUUAUAUUAAUAAAAUAUUUAGUUGGCGGUGGUUUUGAUUGAUGAUGGUGAUUUUAGUUCAAGUUGAUAGUUGCGGGUAGUAGCUAGGCGAUGAUGGUCCUGGCUGAAAAUAGCGGGAAACAAUCCUUUCAAGAUAUCCAAACUUAAUUAUGCAGCAAGUAGAUACUGAUAUUUGUGUACUUUCAAUAAUAGCAAUUAGAAAUUAAAAUAGUAAGUCAACGAAACCAAGACAAAUUUAUCUGUUUAGUUGAACUCAGGGAGGAAAGAUCUUAAAUAGUUAGUACAUAGUAAAAACAAAAUCAACAGCAACAAUCUGCACAUUUCACAUAUGAAUUGACAUUAAUUGAGAUUCAUGCCCAAACAAUUGAUAAAUAUUACUUUACCACAAACGACGAUGAAAGUUUGAAUCUGCUGGUGGAUUACACUCAAUCAUCAACUCCUGCCUACAAUAAUUUCAAGUUCAACAUAAGAGUUAGAGUCAUGGAUGAAAUCAUUACUUUCAAAUAAUAAUGACAGCAUUCUUAUAUUGCACAAUUUCAGGCUGUUGCGUGGAAUAUCCUUAUAUAGCAAUAUCAACAAUGGUUGCCGGUACAUUACACAACUAGACACAAAGAGAAAAUAGCUUGGACAGAACAUCAAUGAACAAUAUACUUGAUCAUCAAAACGUGGAUAAACAGUCAAACUCACAACUAACAGAGAAGUUAAAAAAGCUAAAUCAUCCUAAAAUCAACUCUCUCUGUAAAUAAAAUUAUUAUUCAAAGACAAGCUUGUGACUUUUAAACUGAAGGAUUUAUCAACCAAAAUGGACCUGAGUAUUAUAUCUUCCAACUAAUUUCAACUUUUCCUUCUCUUUUUUCUUUUCUUUUCUUUCUCCUCACCAAACAGGAUAUGUAAUAGGAUCAUUCUUCACAAUAAAAAGGCAAAAGAAACAUUACACAAAACUGAAUUCUGUAGCUCUCCUGUGCUCCAUCAUCCUAUAAUCUUAUUCCUAUGUUAUGAAAAUAAAUUUGGAAGUUCGGUAACGUUUCAGAAUAUGGACAGACAAUAGAGAUUUAUAGUCUGGGCAAAAUAUCGAGCUUAUACAACUGAAAUUAGCACCAAUCAUGCUUCAUCUCCCAAAUCUCUAGCUUCUUCAAUUCGUCAAAUACUUCCAAAUCUAACAAAUCAAAGUGCACCUUUCCAAUAUUAAGAUUAAAGAACCUUCAAAUCAGUAGCCAAAAUCUAACAUCCAACUUAUACACUAAGAGCAAGAAUCAAUAUUAGACCAAUUAAAUCACUAACAUAGCUCGUACUAUUUAUUAGGGAAAGCUUAGAAGUUCAGAUCUCCAAAAGCAUCGUAGAAGUAUUUCAAUACAUCUUUGAGAUUGUUCGAAUCCUAAAGACUCAAUAUUUAGGGCUUUUGAAAACAAAGAUAUUUUAAAAUUUAGCCAAAAGAAUUGUUCUGGUGUGUUCGAGCAAUAUCAAGAUUCUUAAAUAGCAAGCAUAUCAAUUCCAUAAAUGUAGAAAUUCUGGUGUCACUGCCCGUGUUGGUUUAGUUUAGAAAUAAAACAGAUUAGAUUUGUGUUUAACGCUUAAAAAAAGCCAUAUACCUAUUGGACUAACAUAUAAGACUCUCAAGCCAUAAAAAAUACUGCAUUAAUGCUCAUUCUUACCAAAAAAUCAAUGGGAGACUUAUGGUUAGGGUUUGAAAUAUACCUUUGACCUGUUCGUAGCAACCAAUAGAGCAAAUAAUUGAGCUAGUGAGUUGAUCAUUUUCAGCAAAAAGAUGGUGGUGGGAGGAGCAGUAACAUCAGCAGGAGUCGAUGGAUCGAGAUUCAACGGAGGAAGAGGAAUAGGGGAUGGCUAUUCAAAAUUAAUUUAGGGGGUACACUCCUUGCCCUUUCAAAGUUGGGUGAGUAGUAAUGGGGGGGAAAAUUUAAUGGUGGAAAUUUCUAGCAAAAUUUUAUUGGAAAACUUUAGAGCGC